rnacentral:lncRNA from 1 species
GUAUUGGAGUACUUUUUCCUCAUUCCAAUUCAAGAACUCAAUAGAGUCCUUUAUCAUUAGUGCUUUUGCAAGCCACGCUCGCAUGCCAUUCUUAUCUUUAGUUUCGUCUGUAACUUUCUAUCGGUACAUACGGAUAGGGGUACCGCCUGCUAGGGUGUCCGGACGCGAUGGUGUCAGGCUCCGGCGUGUGCGCCAAGUGCAUCGUGGUGGAUGCGCACCACCACAUGCUUGGCCGCCUAUCCUCCAUCAUCACCACCUCCAUCAUCGCCAAGAAGCUGCUCAACGGCUAAAAGGCCAUUGUAGUGCACUACGAGGAGAUUUGCCUCUCCGGGGAACCAGCCCGUCAGGAAGUCAUCUGACAGACUGUCCACCUUGGUGGACAGAGGGUUUUCCAAACCCGCACCCUGGUGAUGAUGAUGACGGCAGAAGCAGCAGCGGGACAAGGCCCAGGAACUCGGCUAGAAUAUGCCUGGAUGGAGCCCACGGUGGAAAUAUUGUAUCGAGCUUCCAAGAGGAAAUCUUAUCCAUAUUCUCAUGGUGUCGAGCAAACGAAUUUGUCAUGGAUGUAUCGAGUAUCUUUGGGCCAGGUGUCGAGGUUGUCACAACACCACCUAGUGGUACUUUCUAUUUAGAGCUCGAGUACAGUGAAAGAUGCCUGCAGUGGUGAUCAAUGGGAAAAAUUUGUACGUGAGGGGGUGGAGGAGCCUAAAUAGAUCUUUUGAAAUCAAAGAGAAAAGCACCACGGCGCCCAAAGAGCAGGAAGAAGUCUGAGAAACCGAUGAGGAACUACAUGCUCGGGUAAGAUGUGAGGCCUGUAUACUGUGGGUUUAACUACGGGGAUUUGGCUUCAAAUGGAAAGCUCUGUGAUAUCAUGAUGGGUAUUUAUGAGUUCAGAAGAGUUUUGGAUGCUUUGUUUGAGUACGAUAAGGGGGAAGCCCGGGAAGCAAUAUCAGAGAAGAUGUAGGAAAGAUUGCAGUAUUCAUAAGCGAGGCCACCCGAUUCCUCUUCAUUGAGUACACAACAUGCAUUUCAUUCAGUAUCAGUGAUAACAGUGUGAGUAGACUGAAUCAAGCAUAGCAUGAUGUUCAGUGGUUGGAACGAUUGCAACCACCUUUGCAACCACUGAACAUUGCAAAACCACUUAACGAUUACUGUGCUUGACUCAGUCUACUCACACUGCUAUCAGUGAUACUGAAUGAAAUGCAUGUUGUGUCCUCAAUAAAGAGGAACCAGGUGACCUCGUUUAUGAAUACUGCAAUCUUUCCUACAGCUUCCCUGAUAUUGCUUCCCGGGUUUCCCCAUUGUAUUCAAACAAAGCAUACAAAGCUCUGCUGAACUUAUAAAUACCCAUCAUGGUAUCACAGAGCUUUUCAUUUGGGGCCAGAUCCCCGUAGUUAAACCCACAGUAUACAGGCUUCACAUCUUACCCGAGCAUGUAGUUCCUCAUCGGUUUGUCAGACUUCUUCCUGCUCUUUGGGCGCCGUGGUGCUUUUCUCUUUGAUUUCAAAAGAUCUAUUUAGGCUCCUCCACCCCCUCACGUACAAAUUUUCCCCAUUGAUCACCAUUGCAGGCAUCUUUCACUGUGCUCGAGCUUUAAAUGGAAAAUACCACUAGGUGGUGUUGUGACAACCUCCACACCUGACCCAAAGAUACUCGGUACAUCCAUAACAAAUCCGUUUGCUCGACACCAUAAGAAUAUGGAUAAGAUUCCCUCUUGGAAGCUCGGUUCAACAUCCCCACCUUAGGCUCCAUCCAGCCAUAUUCUAGCCAAGUUCCUGAACCUUAUCCCUUAUCCCGCUGCUGCUUCUGCUGUCAUUAUCGUCACUACCCUUCUGUGUCUUCUUCCGUGAUGGCUUCAUUUCCUGAGAGGAGGGUCAUUUUUUUGAAUUAAGAACACAUGCAAUUCAAUGAUAAAGGAUCAUAAAUCAAAUACUAACUACUGUAAUAACAGAAGCAUUAAAUUUCCUGAGAUUAACAUCAUAUAUGAGGAAUUCAAUUGGAUAAAGUAUGCACAAGUAUGCACCAUUAUAAAGUAAACGGCCACCAAAUUAACAGCAAGCAAUUCACUAUAAAUGAGCGUCAAGUUGAUAGAGAUGCAGUAACAAGCUUGUAAUAAUCAGCCUCCCCUGAUUCCUCAGAAUGAUCCAAACACAAACAAAAGCAUUUACAUGCAGUGGGGAGUACUUGUAUAGAUACAUGAACAUAAAUCGAUCUUUUCGAAAAUAAAUUGGACGGACGAAUGGCGAUUCAGCCGGAGCCAAACGCUUUCAAUUACUAACAUGCAUCUACAGUCAGGAACCAACCGGGACAGAUUAUACUGCAUAACGCAUCUUCAGGAAACAAGCGCAUCAACUAAACACAGGGGAAGCAAGCAUUGAUACUGAAUAACGUAACCAAAUGCAUCAUGCGUCAACUAAAAUAGGGGAAUAAUGCAAGUACUCGCAAUAAUACUCCAUCCAAAAGGCAAACGCAAUCGCAAAACACAUCGCAUGUAUGAGACAAGGGAGGGCACAUAUGUUUCCUAAGAAAUCGAGCGGGGGAAACUGCGAUUCGAUUCGGCCGGAGCCAACCGCUAGCUUUCCCAGACCAACCAUCGCGGUUAAUUUCGCGUCUACAAGCAGGAACCGACUGCGAGACUUUACAAGCAAGCAAGUAAUAAUGCAGAAAAAGCCGACUCUGAUCAAACCAUAAUGAUGAACAAAGCAACCUAUCUACGUGCAAUUCAAUUCACCCAGAUAAAUCAAUCCAUAAAGAGACCAGCAAUAAGGAAUAAGGAUCGCGAAUCGCAUGAUUCGGACGCCAUGUAUCAGAUAGGAAAACGUGACUCUGGAUCAAACCAUAACGAUGAAUGAAGGGGCCUAGCUAGAGGCAAUUCACGCAGGCAAUCCAUCAAGAGGAAUAACGUAGCCAGGAUUGGGAAUCGCAUGUAUCAGGCAGAGGGGUUUCGAAUUGCGUCUGUUUCGUCUAGGGUUUAGACCUUCUUCGCAUUACAGUCCCAGAUAACAUAACCAUAUAUGAAAUUUCACUAGUUGUUGGCAUGACAGAGUCAGAUAACAUACGGUGAAGUUAAUUUAAAGUUCAAGCAACACAUUAUAUUACAGAACGACACACAACAUCCCAGAUAAUAUGAAGUUAAACCUAGAACAAACUAAUUAAUGGAGGAUGGUCAAUCGAAGAUGCAUGCCUACACACUAAUGCAACAGACGAGGGGGGCGAUCAUUGAUCAGGUUCCGAGCCAUAACUUCUUCAAGGUGGCUGACGCGGCGGAAGAAGACGUACUCCCCCCCACCAGUUCCAGGCGUGGCCAUGGAACCUUUCCACAUCUGAUGGAGAUGGAAGGCGCACGAAGAAGAGAAUGGCAGAAUCGUCGUCUGGGACGACCCGGCAGCUGUAGUCACCGAUGACGUGCUUGACGACGACGCUGGUGGUGAUGAAGGGGUCGAUGUGCUCCUUUGUCACAAAGGCAGCGACGACGUAGUUCUGCGCUCCACCCCAGAUGCGCAACUGCUAGAUGAUGCGGUUGGAGACGAGGACUUGGACUGGUGGUGGUGGUCCGGCGAAAAUGUUCAUGGCGGCCAUGGCCAUGCUCUUCCCCCCCCCCCCCCCCAGCAUCAUCGGAAGAAUUGGUGCUCGUUCGCCUUCAACCGUGAGAAGUGGACUAAGGUGGGUGGGUUGGUCAGCCUACUCAUUCGAACGGGGGGUAGGGGACUUUAUCCUCAUUGAUGUGUUAAGGGAACUGGAGUCAUGGAGCUUGUCAGGUUUCCAGAUCCAGGUGACUAUGCGAUUAUUAAGGCAGGGUGCUACUGUACCAGUAGUAGAGUGGGUUGAAUCAAAUCGUUUGUCUAGAGAGGGUAUAGCGAUAACCAAAGCUAACUGUACUAGAAACUUGAGAUCCUGUAUAGGCAACAGGCCUUAGAAUAGUGUAUUGAACUAUAGGACAGGAACAACCCAUAAUCAUUGACGAAGAAAGCUUGGAAAAGGAUAAAACAUAUUGAAGAGAAGCUUUCUAAAAGGCCAAUAGCCGAUAGCUGAUGUCACUAGCCUUAACUUCUUUAUCUACUUGAAAGCUGAUGAGAGUACGGCUUUCUUAAAUUAAAGGAAGUGUCCGUGCCUAUGAUAUUUCUUUUCUAGUAAAGUAAAGAGCCCUUAGAUUCGCCUUUUUCCGUAAGCCUAAAAGUAAGGGAAGCUCUUAAACUUUAAGACUCAAACCUCCCACUAUUUAAGGAUUGGUUCGAUUCUUUUCCCGAAAGAGGACAGGUUUUAUCCUUAUUUAUGGAUUUCGGCAGACUUCAGGUUUGUUCCUCUUCCCGGGCAUUUUGUCAUUCAAAGAUAUGGUAACCGAACACUGUUGUUAGAAAAACCUUGUCAUCCUUCGGUAGAGCAAAGCAAGGACACAACGCACAAAGCAUUUCCCGACCACGGAUAGGUACCAUGUGUUACCAUUCAUUUGUCACUUAUUUGAUUCUAUCUCAGAGGAAGAGUGUUCGUUCGGGCUAACGAAAGAUCUCAGAGGGACUCUUACUUCUAUCUGCUCGCGCCGUUGCCCGCGCCGGAUCCGCGCCGCCGCCUCGGCCUCGGCCUCGGGCGCCGCUCGCCGUCGCCGGAUCUGCCCUCCGCGCUGCCGCCUCGCGCAGUCGCCCGCGCCGCCGGUGCCGGAUCCGCGCCGCCGCUAGCCGCUCGCCGUCGCCGGGCCCCUCCACACCGCCGCUAGCCGCUCGCCGUCGCUGGGCCCCUCCGCACUGCCGCUAGCCGCUCGCCGUCGCCGGGCCCGUCCGCGCGCCUCGCCUCGCGCGCGCUUGAGGGCACCACGCGCGGCCGGGUGAGAGGGUUGAGGAGGGGAGGGCUGCGGCUGGAGAGAGAGGGGGGUAGGAAACCUAAACAUAUCGUUAUAUACUGGUCGUUCGUAUCGGGCCGAGCUGGGCCUGCGGUGACUCGGUCUUUUUCGUAGGCGGAAGUCCGCCUCCGAAAAUUGAUUUAUAAAUAGGAAUCCUGGCAGACGCCCCCGCCUCCUUAAAUCCCGGCCCCUCCCCGCCGCCUCCAGCACGCAGGCAGCUCCGAGAAAGAAGAGAUCAAUUCACGAGGUAGAGCAGAUGCAAAUCCUCGCUCGCUCGAUCCUUCGACGCUGUGAAAUAGCCACCAGCUCUCCAUCUCCUGCCCCAGCGCCAUGCCUCCGCUCUUUCAUGGCCGCAGCGGCGGCGGCUCCGCCACGCUGCUGGUGGCGGCCACGAGCGCGUGUGCGGGGAGACCUUCCACCCUCGGCACCUCCCGAUCGACCUGUCCGCCGGCCUCUUUGUUGUCAAGCUGCUAAAACUCGCGCUUCCGCUGGUCUGUUCCAGACCAACUUCAGGUUUCGAUUCAAAAUCUUAUAAAUCUUAAUUACUAUUUGACAUUAAGAUUUGGAUCCUGUUUUGAUAUAUACUGCCUUAUUUGAAUCUUGCUAAGAUGUGAUGAUUGACUUCUUCUGCUUUUUGGUGGUGAUAGAUUAUUUCACAAUAAUGGAUCUCGCAACAUGGCCAGCACCACUGGGAUCAAAGGCGAACCAGACAAUGGCGAACAAGAUAAUGGGAGGGGAAUAGGUGCGCAUGACGAUGACGAGAAGAAAUAUGCGAGGAAGAAGAAGAAGGUAACCCGUGAUGGUAUGUUUCUUCUAUGUGGCGAGGGCCCUCCUGGUGGUGAGCUCAGCCAAGACGGAGAAUAUCCGAGUUCGGAAGAUGAGGAGUUCUGUUGCACCUGCUCUGACGAUGUAUACCCUAUGGCUGUACUGCCAUACAGCACGCACCGUGAUGGCUUUAUAUACAGGUUUGGCGGAGGAUGGGGAAAAGACUAUUGUAUUGCAGACCGUGAUGAGAGUAAGUGAUCAGCGGCCCUUUUUUAUUUCUUCUAUUUUUGUAGAAAAAAAUAUAAAGUUAUUAUAGGGUCGAUCGAUUGAUAAAUUCUCUGUAGAAAUAUAUAGGUUUUUGUUCUACAUUGUUAAAAGUUGUAUUAGUUGAAUGCCAGUGUGCUGCCACGUAUACAUGAGAAUCUCAUCAAACAAGCAACUUGGGGUGUUUUAUGGUUAUGCAUUUACAAAAGUAGAACAUGUAGCCAACUCUCGAGUUAUAAGCAAAGUGUAGCUUUGUGCGCAAAGUGUAGCUUGGGCCAUUGUGCGUUGUCUUCAUAUUUAAGUUAACUAUCUCUCAAUAAUUUCUCUGAUCCCCUAGCCCACGUCAUAAGGCAACAUGCAUUUCACAUUACAAUUCACUGUACCUCAUAUAUCCUCCCUAGUGUAUUUAUUGCCUAGAUAACUACUACCUAAUCUAUUUUUCAAUUGCUUUACCCUUGAACUAAUAAAAUGAGGUCACUUCAUCACUCCCUAAUGGCAUUUGUACCUUAUUUCUCUUUAAAAAAACAUGGUUUAUCGAUAUUUUAUCUGAAGAUUUUAUUUCAUAAAGAACUCUGUUAAAAUAAUUUUUAUCCUUUAAAUUACUUUUAUCAUUUGAACUACUUUUCAAUUCACUAAAAACACAACUUCACUUUCUAAUGGCAUUUGUGGCUUUUGCUUCUGUUUAUGAAAAACCACAUUGUACAUUUGAAAUUUUAUGACGUGGCAAAGGCUUCAUGGCCACAAUUUCAAGGAUAUCAGCAUGUUUUUGUAUCAAGGGUUUAAACAUGUUUAAGAUCCUCUCAACCUGUGUGCAAAUAAGGAAAAUUAUGAAAUAUCCUAUAACAUAGAGCAUGGUGUCCUCAAACACCAAACUAAACUUCAACUCCACAAAGACCUGUAGAAAGAGACUUAAAAGGGGGCCAAAUUUCUUCAAGGGGAACCAUAACCCUAUUUUUCAUUCGUGAGGUAAUUUGAACAAAAAAUAGUUAUUCGCUAGUUCCUCCUUUUAUAAAAUGUUUCGAUACUACUCUCUUUUUUUAAUGGUGAAGUUUUUGAGGUGGCAAGAUUCCUAGCAAAAAACAUAUAUCUUUUGUACCUAGGCAAAAAGAAAUGUUUCUUGUGCUCAUGGAUAGUAUUCUUUUUUACAAUAUUAAUGUUCAUUAACAAUAUUUCUCGUGUUUUAUGAAGCUCGGUGCGAUGCAAUGAUGUUAUCCAAUCCCAAAGAGUGCAUGUUCUCUGGUGCAACUUGUUAUCAGCAUCGUCCAGGUCGCAUGUUGCAAAUUUUUUCUUUAAAGUUGGCUAAAUGUCAAGUGGCGGAGGGUGGCCCAGUAGAGUUGUAUGGGUACAUAGCUGCAAGGGACAUUCUGGAUCCGUUGCUUAAUUAUGUCGUCAAUGUUAACAGGGAUGAUCCCAUCCUUGUGGAACAGGUACAUACCCACACUUAUCUGCAAUUAUUUCACAUUAUUGUAUAUUCUUCUGAUCAUCUCAUAAUAAUGGGCAAACUUUUCACUUUCGUAGAACUGAUUUACGUAAUAUAUUGCGAAUGUUGUUCCAAUUUUUCUAUUGAUUUACGUAAUAGAUGUAAUGAUGUAGUUUCAGGUACUGAAAUAUAAUAUCAAACAAGGGUAUAUUCAUAAAGUUCUAAAAAAAAGUAGAGGUACGUUCACAAGGGUAAAAUUGUCUUCUUUGACACCGUUAUGUAUUGUUCACGGAGUAGUGGUAAAAUGAGGCUUCAUUUUCAAACAGUAAGGGUAAAAAUACAAAGUGAAAGAAAGUGGGGGUAAAAAUCGCAAUUGGGGUUCAAAACAGAGGCUAGAACGCAGUAGCCCCAUCUUCAAACGGUUUUGAAAUCGGACUUAUGGUUCCCGAGAUAUUGUAUUUUUUUAUUGGAUUGGGUAAAGAUUCCCUACAUGCAGCCAUGCAUGCAUCCGUGAGGGUGGAGUGAGUGUGCGACUACCCAUGCAUGCGUGCAGGACACGGGCGCGCCAGAUGCAGGGCGAGUUGCUGGCUCGUGGACCUGAAGGCCGACGGGGUCUGUGCAUUUGGGUUCAAAAUGCACCUUGCUAAUAUGUUCUAUGAUUAUUUACCUUUUCAGAAACAUCUAGUGUUUUCUGCAAAAAUAUGCUUCCAUUUGAUUUUUAGUAAUAUGUUUAGAUGCAACAAGUAAUACUUUUGGUUGUGUAUGCCACUACUAUACCAAUGCAAGUGUUAUGUUGGGAAUAAUUCACUACAAGAGUUGACCUAAAUUAUGAAAGUAAUAAGUGAGUAUGACAUGCUCUAAACAAGGUGAAAUGGAACAGUUUUGAACUGUUCCAUAGAACCAAGCAAUAGCCCUCGGUUGGUAGAGCUAGCUGUUGAGAAACUGUCCAUCCUAGUGCUUAGUGUGUGAGUAUCUCCACAAAUCGUUCUGAUCAUAUGUCUUCUAUCUUCCCCGUCCCCCUCUCUUCUUCUGCAAAGAGACAUCUUCUCUUCCUUUCGCUGAAUUAUUGUAUUUUUACUAAGUACACCGCAAAAAAUUAUGUUCUUCGCAAAAAAAUGGUUUUAACUUGUGCACAUCUUGACCAUCAAUAACUUUCAAUAUUCCUUUAGCAUAGUAUUGUUUCAAGUGGAACAUUACAAGGGAGGUUUUAAUCUUUAGACUAUCUUUGCUUUUGUAUGGCGGGCUACUAAAUACCACCAUCUUUGUAGGGUUCCCUCAUUGAAAUAACUGGCCCUAAGCGAGGGAUCGAGUUGAAUUAUGCUACUCUAAUUGAAUAUGACAUGAGGAUCAAGACAGGAAAGCAAGAAAAGGAUGAUCUGCAGCUCAUUGACGGCGUAUCACUUAUAGAUGAGCUAAGCACAUAUUAUAUUAGGGAACCAUUCACAAGACGUAUGCAUGGUGAUUGUGGAGCAGUUGACAUAACUUUAGUAUGUGUUAGCGAUGCAGUUGAGGCGACGGUGGAAGUCGUGGUAUCAGAAGUGCGGAGCAAUUUCAGUUUGUGUGUCGGCUGUUUCACCAGUGGGUUAGAUCAAGAAAUCAGGCUCUUUGAUGGUACCAUCAGUGAGUCGCGUGGCUUAAGGAGGUCUGUUGUUGCAGUAGCGAUGGAUACUUGCAUAGAUGUGAAGCUCAGGGUAGGUUCAGGCGAUAAAGAUGCGGAACAUUGCUGUACCUUCAAGGCGACCAAUCAUGGAUACACUAGCCAACUGGUAAAAGUCAAGUUUGCCAUAAUCUUGGUGAAGGUGACUUGGUCGACGUUGUCUAUGUUGCCUUAGGCUAUCUCCAACCGUCGUUCUCUAUAUCCUUCUUUAUAUCCGUCAUUUAUAGACUUCUCUACAAGAUUCUCUCCUCUAUAUCUUAUUUCUCUCCAACAACGUUCUCUAAAUCUCGUUCUCUAUACAUUAAAUCCUAUAUUAGAAACGUAUUUUGUUCUAAAUUUUUGUACGUACUUAUUUAUCAUACCUCAAAUGCUAUGGACAUAUUUUAUUUUUAUUUAAUCCAGUGUUUAAAACGUAAAGAAAAAGUAGAGAAGAGGAGAGAGAAUCUCUAUAUAUAGAGAGGAAACCUGUAGCGUUCUCUAUUUUAGAGGACUAUUUAGAGAACGCUGUUGUAGCAUAUAGAGAACGGAAUCAUCUCUAUAUAUAAGGUAGAGAACGGUUUAGAGUCUCCCGUUGGAGACAGCAAUCCGUGUACGUAGACAUCCUCAAUGCAUGCAAUAUUCUUAGCUCUUGCUAUAACACAGCAUUACAGUACAUAUUUACUUGGUGAUUUUUGGUCUGGACACAUUACUAAUGUAUAUAUGUGGUAUGUAUUUGACGAUUUUUUUUUCUUUCUUAUCUGCAUCCCAUCCCCCAGUCUGAUGCGCCUUUGAAGAAGGCCGUCUUGGCAGUACAAUUUAAACGGGAGCCUUCUGGAUCCGGUCUGCUAAACCUCUACAGAUGUGUUGGUGAAGUGUGCACUGUACACCUGGCGGGCGGACUGGACGAAACGUGCAUCUAAUUAAUUAACUUUGUUCUUGUGAACAGUGACCUCAUGCUCGAAUAGUUUAUGAUGAACGAUCUCGAACUCGUCCUGCUGCUCUCUUCGUCAUGUACGUGGGAGUGGAUCCACACACGUAUAAACACAGCUAGUACCGAAAAAAUAAAAGAAGCAUUAUUAUGCAGCAAGUGUUGAUUGUGUUUCAUAAAAAAAAUAUUUGGUUGAUUGUACGUUACCACGAGUCAAUACUCAAUACAAGGUGCUAAAUUGCACUGUGCACCCACGUACGGGAGACAAUCACACAAAUUUGCACAGAAUCGAGGCCUGUCUCCUCCGAUAUGUUGCACACCGCCACCGUCGCUCCAGCCGCGACAUGCUCCAUUCAUGGCGGAUCAGUGUAGUUUCUCGCGAUGAUGCCAAAGUUGGCGCUUUAGGGUCUGGUUGGAUCUAUGGUGUUAAAUUUGAGCACCGGCACCUUGAAAAUGGAGGACUAAAAUGUAGCACCCCACCUAUUUAGAUCUAUGUGCUAAACUUUAUCAUUGGUUGCAAAAAAAUAUAUGUUUGGCCCCCCAUUAUUGUCACUUUUCCCUUUCCCUCCCUCUUCCCGCCAGCAAUAAUGAGAGACAGGGGUGUCUUUUGGUUACAACAACACGCUUUUAGCACUCCUUAGAGCAACUCUAACCAACACCCUUUCUGACCUCCUACUCUGCAUUUAGGAGAGAGAAAGAAAAAAAUAACUUCAAUGGAACUCCUAUCUUGUUCCUAAACUUGAGAGGUCUCUCGUUCGUCGGUCUCGCCCUCCUACUUCGAGGAAUAGAAUGAAAGAGACUCAUCCUUUGACAGGGCUGUUGCAGAGAGGGUUGUUGGAGACCAUUGUCAAGUAGGAGAGAAAUGGAUAGAUGAAAUAGGGGGCUAAAAGUAGGAGGUGAGUUGGAGUUACUCUAAGGAGCUAAAGGAUUCAAGGAUGCUAAAUUGUAGCACUGCACUUUUAGCCAAUCUAUUUGCAUACAUAAAGUGAUAAAAGUGACUAAUAUUUGAAUGCUAAUUUUUAGCACCAUGGAUCUAAAUAAAGCCUAACGAGGAAAGAGGAGAAAACAAGAAGAAACCGUUUCUCAUGCAGGAAACGAUGUUGGCUCUACGUCCAACGACGACGGAAGAAACGGCCGCGCACGCGAUGGCCACGCUCUCGUUUCGUCCCCGCGCGUUUUCUGGGCCCCACCGCGUCCACCCCCGACGGCGCCGCUCUCCAUGCCGGCGACCUCACCGCACCGGCGAGACCUCGACGGCCCACCUCACUACGCCGCCUGAACCUGGCCACCGGCGAUGGGCAGCUCAUCGCCGGACUGGAUCCGGCACAAGGGGGCGGGAAGAGGAGGCCGUCGCAGCCGCCGCGCCGUUCACCGUUGCGCUGCUCCGCCGGACGAAAUCGGCGCCGUGCACCACUCAAAGCGCGGCAGUGGAAACUCGAUGCCACUGCCGCGCUGCUCGAUGUCAACAUCUGUUGCAAUAGCAGACGCUACCUGCGCCGUCCCCACGGAUGGAUAGCUUGCUCGAUGAGAUGUACCGCUCAAGGAUCAAAUGACCAUCUCUCUGUCCGCGAAUCCAUGCAUCAAAUAAUCUUGUUAACGAACUAUGAUAUGCUUGGUGUCGUGAAGGAACUGGGAGCUGAUUCGCUCGGAUGAGCUUCUGCUUCUUCCGAUUUGAAAAUGGGAGUGCUUUUCCUCCAUGGAUUGCUCCACUCUGUGUAUUAGAUUUGGAAGGAGCAAGAAAGGCAAGAACCGCUGUGGUGCGAAGGGGAUUUGGUGCUCGGAUUUGACAGUGAUGGAAAUCGAGUGGUGGAUUUGGCCCUCUUCCCUUGCGCAGCUCGCCGCCGCGCGCUUGCGCUAGGAUGGUGGGUCUGCAGAGAGAACACGAGAGACAAAUUUAACAGGGGCCACGUGAAAGAAACUAUGGAUGGUGCGGUAUAGUUUCCAGAGUGGUCUUUACUGACGUAACAUUAUAGACACUACUCAUUAACACGGUAUGGGUUUCAGGAUGGUUGGAAAAAAAGAACCGUUAGAUCUAGUGGUGGUAAGGUAGGUGGUACCGGGAGGUACCUAAGAAAAGUACCAACUAUUUUUUUUUAUUAACGAAAAGGGUAAAUAGGUAAUUUUACAAGAGAAGUAUUAUACGUAUGGCCCUAGUACAACCGGAUUUUUUUGGUUCGUCCUCGCGAUUCAUCGCUCCGGCCUCCCCUCUGCUCGCGCUUUCCUCACCGCGGCUCCACGCUCCGGCCUACCCUCUGCUCGCGCUUCCCUCCCCGCGGCUCCAACAAAGCGCCCCAAAAUGGUUCCCCGCCGACGCGGAAUCGAGAUCCGUGGCCGGUGGUUGGAGGCCUGUCCGGCGGUCUGCGGGAGGAAGCUAGUGGGGGCACGCCGUCGAGCUCCGGGAGCUGGACGCUCUGGCCGGUGGCGAAGUUCAGGAAGCGGCGUCGGUGGCUUGCGGGGCCGGCGGCGUGACCUCGCAAGAUCCACCGGCCCGGCUCAGGAUGCUGAGGUCAAGGAGCGACGACGAUGGCGGCUUCAGCUUGGCAACACCGCGGGAACCCGGAGCAGACGCGGCGCAGGCAUGGUCUACCUACCUCCACCGACAGGUCAGCCUGCUUUAGCAAGCCACACUGAACACCUCGUUCAUCAAGAUCCAUCUUCCCUCCGCGCGGCCCCUGCAGGUCUGGUUCAUCCACGUCCACGGGAGUCCCAGCAGGUCUGGUUCAUCACACGACCACGGCAGUUCCUGCAGUUCAGGGUACGUACCUCAUCGUCUUCAUCAAGAGGUUUUCCCUCACCCUCAUCGAGUUCCCUUUUCCUACCAAUUUGUAAUUGCCCAUCUGUUAAGAUUGUUCAUAUCAUUGGAAUGGUUCAGGGAUCAUGGACAGGGGUGUUCAUAUGGUUCGUGAGGAUUUUGACCGCCAAGUGCUGCAGCAGCGGGAAAGCAUGGACCACAGACUCAAGACAAAUCGUGAAGAUAUAGAUCGCAAGGUCCAGACCCAACGUGCAAGCGCCAACCUGCGAAUCCAGGAAGAGCGUGCGGAGAUGGACAAGUUAUUGUUCCAGGAGCGCCAAAACAUGGAUGAGCGCCUGAAGCAUGAGCCAGACAUUAUGGAUCGGAUGUUGAAUGCAGAGCGCUAUGAGAUUGAUUGCAUGAUAGAGCGCGAACGAGUCCAUAUGGAUUUAGGCCUUGUUUAGAUCCAAAAUUUAAAAUUCCAAAAGAAUAUUGCGGUACCUGUAUGGAGAAUUAAAUCUAGACGAAAUAAAAAACUAAUUGCACAGUUUGCUUGUAAAUUGCGAGACGAAUCUAAUGAACCUAAUUAGGCUGUGAUUAGACACCAAAUUGCUACAGUAAAGCUACAGUAAACAUAUGCUAAUGACGGAUUGAUUAGGCUCAUUAGAUUCGUCUCGUAGUUUACAGAUGAGUUCUGUAUUUAGUUUUGUGAUUAGUCUAUGUGUAAUACAUCAAAUGUGAAAAAAUUCUCUUUCAAAAACUUUACACGGUGCAUCUAAACGAGACCUUAGAGAAAAUGAAGUCCCGUGCAAAGAUGGACAGGAAGAUGCAGCAGGAAAAGGUACUAAGCAGAUAUGGUAUUUUUUUAAUAUUAUUUUUCAUUCUGUAACAAAAAAACAUCUUACCUAUUUGUGCUCAUUGCAGACUACAAUCGAACACCUAGGACACUACAUCACCUCACCUACAACAGCUUCAGAAGGACACUACAGCACCUCACCUACAGCAGGAAGACUCCGCAUAUUCACCCCCGGUACUUCUACGAGAGUUAUGUUAGAUCUUUUUUACAUAAUCUUGAAUACUUUAUCCUUCUGAACACUCUGAACUAUAUGCAGGCUGUUGUCAUGGAAUUUAGAGUCCAUGUGCGGCGCGGAAUUCCAUUCCAACUAAAAGAAUCAGAGAAAAGAAGGUUGGGCUCCAUGACAUUUGUUGAACCUCUCAAAGUCGAGUGGAAGCCUAUGGUGGACAAUUUGGAAUGUCACGAUACAAAGGGACAACUAAUCUGUACUACCUCAUCCCUGCUACAGAUGGGUUGGUGUUGAUGGAGGGUCCUGCACAAGUAGAACGACUGUUGCAGGAUCAAGAAGGUAGGAAAAUUGGUGAUCUUUACAUCGUCAAACAUGACGACAGUGAUGAAGAUUCGGCCAGCGCAUAUUCCUUCCACGUGGAUUAAAUUGAUCAAUUAGGGAGUCUAGAGUUAUUUCCUUCAAUUUCAGUUUCAAUAAAGAAUUGCAUUGCAAGAACUUGGAACUUGCACAAUUGUAUCACUUUAACCAUUGAUUAGAUUCAUUUAGUUUGUUCUUCCACAAGGUCUCUGCGAUUCUAUUAAAAUUUUUCCUCAUCCGUUUCUCAAUGCCUAAAUAGAUGUUUUCUAGAUUACAUAUGUUGUGGGCUGAAAAAUAAACAAAAAUACAAUCACACAAUCACAUUCGGUAGAGGCUCACGGAGUCUUUAAAAAGAACACCUGGUCUUCAUUUGGCCAAUUCAUGAACAGAAAAUUGUAUUCGCUGUCGCUGAAUUCCGUCCUAGUCCUUGUUGCCUGACGCCCUGUUCUCCUUGUCUGACUAGUUUACUCGAUCAAGUUUGGGAGAUUGCAAAUAACGGAAAGAGAUUCUUAGGAAAGCUAAAUGCUCAGCAAGUUCCAUAUACACAAUGUAUUUAAAAAAAAUUCAUGUACUCUCCAAAACAUAGGGAAAGAGAUUCUCAGGAAAGCUAAAUGCUCCCCAUGUUUUUAGUUUCGAAAAUAAAAGGCCCUCUCUGCUCAUGCUGUUACAAUUGAUAAGUUGUCUCAAUCCAAUCCCCUACAACAGGGCAGAGAUGGGACUGACUCCUAGUUACAACAUUACAUGAGCCCGCAAAUCACAUCAUAGAUUUCUUCCAUGGUCUUAUAUAAUAGAAAAUAGUAACCGCAGCAUCGUAUAUAAUAGAAAAGAGUAAACGCUGACAUCUUAACAGGGCUAAAGAUAGAUAGCACAAACGAAUAUGACCAACUAGUCAGUAUAAACUUAAAAUAUUCAGAUACUAUAAUAAACUGAAUCAAACAUUCUAGAACACAAGAUCCUGGUCUGCAGUGCUAAACUCUGAUGAACCAGUUAUCAUCACCCCAACCGCGUCAUUGAAACACACUUGUUAUAGAACCGGAAAACUUCAUCUUCGCUACCAAACACCUUGCUGACAAUCUCAUAGUACUCCGAUAGUGCCUCUGUGCUUAAAUCAGCCAUGUCUUCCUGCUUAUGACACAUAAAUUAGCAAUAUAAUUGCCAAAGCAUACAACCAGGUGCAGCGGCCAACACAAUUGACAAGUAAAUUGAGAAGUACAAUUAUUUCAUCCAAUAUGGUCUAAUUGCCGUAUAAAACAAACUUUUGGAGCCUAUGUUCUGCACUUUGGUUAUAUACAACUCUAUGCUUUCUUCAGUAUCAUAAAUAUUCGUAAUACAUAUUCAUAUAAACCAAGUAGGUCCAAUGUAGUGACAUACACAGAUAUACAAAGUUGAAUAGUUGAUCAUUCGUCUAGUAUUGACAGCAUUAAUUGGCAAUUGGAGAAAAAUGAAGUACACAAUCAGCCUACUAGAACUGUGUCCUCUGAUCAAGGGUUUCAGAUAGAGGAAACUAGUAGGCAAAAUAAUGUUGAGUACUAUAACCUGACUGUUUUAUCAUUGCUUCCUAAUUGACCUUGUCUCCACAUUCAAUUAAAUUCAAACUACAUGCUUACACAGUAAGUAUGUCAAAAUACAAUCAGUGCCUCAUUUAUCUAACCUCUUACCAAAUCUGCUAUAUUGUUUUGUACAGAAAAUUACAUGCUUCUUACUGAAACCUACUUUUGGUGUUCUCACAUUAAACCCUUUCUUAGAUGCAUAUUUCGAUGUUACUUGCUGAAAAAAAUGGUGAAUAUACAAAUAUGCAAGGAAUUUAGUUCAGGCACAAACCAGUCAAAAUAUAUAUUAACGAAAACUACUAUGUCAGCACACAUAUUAAUGGUAACUUCGCCAAUUCAGCAGCAGUGAAGGCCUAGUCACUUACUUAUUCCUCUCUCUCCCCUUGGUCCUCUGAGAUCUCUUCUACACUACCCUUGUAUUCCUUGCUGUCCAAUAACAUAUUCAGCAGAAAGAGCAACAUGACCAUAAAGACUGUAUCAAAAAAAAAACAUGACCAUAAAGACUGGUAUAAACCAUAAAAGAAGGCAGCAAAUGGCCAAUGUGAUAGACGAUCUAGAUGGAGCAGCAUACUGAAAAUUUGGGGUUCAUCAGACCUAAUUCACAAUUUCCUUGGUAGCAACAAUUUACAAAACAAUAAAACUGUCCAAAGAGCCUCUCUGUCUAUACCAUUAGAGUAUCUUGGUAAAAGCCAAAUAACCACUAUGUCUCCACAUUUCAAUCAUUACAUAUCUUUACAUCAUAUCCUAAUAGUAAACUCACAUCUCUUAGCUAAAUAAACUAUAUUAAUCAUUCCUCAUUGAUAUAGCAAAAAAAAAGAUACAACCUAGUAAUGUUGUUAACUACAAAAUUAAUACACUAUUACCUCAACAUACGCUUAGUUGAACAUAAAGUCUCACCUGAUCAAUGCAUCUCUGGUUGUUCCUAUGGCACCCUGCAAUGCACCAGGAGCUAGAGGAACCUGCAUAGAUGGAGGGAGGAUUGUUGUAGUAUAUGCGAUAACGUGAGCAUAAAUAAUAUUCCAGCAAUAACAGUAUGAGGAGAAUUCCACAUGUAUUCUUCAAACAUGAUCUUACUAGUAUUGAAUAAAAAUACAUCAUGUAAAACUGAAAUACAAGUGUAAAACCAAAUCUGUACACAAGAAUAUGAUCUAGUCAUGGCUCUCAGUUAAACCGAUCUCUGCUUUCUAAUUAGUUUCUGACAGAAAGAACCUCUUGGGCAAAAGUACUAUUAGUCCAGGACCCUGAAGACACUCUAUAAAAGGACCUUCUUUUCUUCUGCCUUACAGAUCAGAGAACGUAAUCCCAGUACUGAAUCAAAUUGACAGGAACAAGAGUUUCUCAGUUGUAUCAACUAAGACAUCACCAGGUUCUAGUACACAAUAACAACAGUACAGAGACUGACCACAACAAUAUGGCACAAGUCGACAAGGUUCAGACUAGAGUACUCAAAGAAUUUUGCCCAAUUUCAGAGCAGACUGACAGAACUUAAACUAUUAUCAAAAGCAGCACAACUAAACUAUCCAGAUUGCUGAAGGGAAUGUCAAUACUCACAGAACAAUACACCCAAGCGAAUCGAUGAUCGAGGCAAGGCACGGCUCACCAGCCGCUGUCCCAGAAAUCCUAUUCGCCGCCGUUGUAGCCAGCAUGGAAGACGGAGAUACAGAGCCUCACCGCACCGCGUCGGCGCGUGCGGGCGAGCCUAGGCGUCGCAACACCAGUCACCAACACCUCCUUCCAAUGGUCAAUGCACUAACACUUACUCAACUGAGUCAGCUCAAGUGUGCACUCUCCGGCCAAAAGAAGAAGAACGAGAGAGGAGGAGAUCAAUGGGGCCAGCAGCGGCAUGUUGGGCGGCCAUGGAGGGAGGAGGCGCCGGGGUUGCGGUCGCACAGAGGAGGCAGCAACAGGCGGAGGGGGCCGGCGGGUCCUGCUACACCGGAUCAAAGGGGCCGGCAGCGGCGGUUGGGCGGCCACGGAGGGAGGCGGCGGCGGGGUUCCGGUCGCGCAAAGGAGGCUGCACGAGGCGGAGGGAUGACCUGCACUACCGGGGAUGGGCGCGGUCACACGGAGGAGGCGGUGGGGUGUCAGGCAACAAGCUACCUGGAUGUUCUGUUCGUCAGUUUCGUCAGAAGAACUCAUGCAAACAGCACAAGUGGAAGUCGGUGUCUCCGUGUACCGCUUCAUCGGCUUCUGUACGCACGUCGAUUCACCAUCCGACGGCCGGCGGCAAGCGAUGACGCGCUACAGUGCAUUAACUUCAUUUUCAUUAGUGUUUGCUGUAAACUCUGAUUACCUACUGCUAAUUAGAACCUUAAUAUAAUCACCCGCCAUCUGUUAAAGGCCAGGUCGAGGGAGCAGGUGGGGUUAUCGGGAAGAAGAACACUGAAACCCUAGGCUAGUUGAUAGGUGUAGCUCGCCGCCACCUGAUAAGUCCCUCGCUGUAUCGGAUUUCUGAAUAUUCUAUGCAGUUAUCUCCUUGCCUCCGAAUCGAUCGGUGUUUCUUGUUCCUCAGUUCUUUUGUUCUAGCUUAGUUAUCCUAUUGCUGUAGCGAGUUCCUCACAAUUGGUACUCAGAGCCACGAUUUCCUUGGCGAAUUUCUUCUUCCAGAGCCCAAUUCCUUGGAUCAAGUCCGAUCGCCGUGGUGGUUUCGGAGUUGCGGCUCACCCGCGUGAAAUCCCUCCCAUCCCACCCCAAUUCGUGGAAUACACCCAAAACUUCCCUGAAAAUCAGCGGAGGAAUUGGUUGAGGCGAGGGUUGUUGGACACCUGUUCCAGUGUAAAAUUCCGAGAGCCAAGAAACCAGUUCGGAUCCGUGGUGGCGACAGCGGAAGGUUGACGUUGAGAAGGGUUGCAGAGCAACUCUCUGUGUAAAAUUCCGGACUCAAUUCCUCAACCUUGGUGGCGGUAGACAAUACUUGCAGAUCUUGAAGGGGAUAGCUUGUCUCAAACCGUAUUUGCAAGUCCAAGAUGACGGUGAAUCCGACAGAUGGAGAAGUGGAAGAAUAUGCCACGGCUACUGAGGUAGAUGGCAUCAGAAGAACCCUGGACAAAUUCAUGAAGAAACAAGAUGAACGGCAUGACGCUCUGAAGGGGACAUUGGAUAAGCUCCUACUUUCCUUGAACAAGCUCACUGCACAGACUACGGUUCCUCCUCCUGAAGAUAUGGGAUCCAAUACCAAGGGUAAGACCAUUCCCAUCACUAAUUUCUCUAAGGCAGGACCUUCCAUUCCACAAAAUAGCCAGCACAUUAACAAGUCCCUGAAUUUCGGUAACUAUCAACAAGAAAGUCAGAAGCACUACUACACACCCCCACACUCUACUAAAGCUCAAAUCAUGUCCACUGGAGGGCCUGAAUGGUCGACUGGGGGCAACAAUUUUGUGGAUUUAGAAUAUGAUUUUGGAGAUUGUCCUUGGGAUGAACAAGAGCUGGAAUUUUUUUAUGAAAUGGCUAAUAGAGAGCAGGACACCAUGGUUGAUCACACCGCUGCCUUCCCUCCCAAACAGACAAACAACAACAUGUUCAAUCCCCCAAGGCAUAUCAGAAACAUCCCUCAUCCUGAAGGCCACUUCAUGCAAAAGCCACAGGCACCUCCAUUUUCUCAGCACUUACUUCACCAAUACAGGAUGGUGGCAAAAGGGUCAAAACUGUCUUUCCUUGAAUUUGAUGGAUCUGAUCCUGAUGGGUGGAUUAGAAAGGCUGAAAUUUUUUUUGAGAUGGUAACUGUCCGUACUGCAGAGAGAGUCAAAAUAGCUGUCAUGUAUAUGAAAGGAAAAGCAGAAUUUUGGUGGAGGGGUACAGCUUGCAAUUCUGCUACAUUACCUUGGCACCAAUUUUGCAGAAUGCUGGGAGACAGAUUUAAUGAGGUCUCCACUUAUGAAGUGGUGGGUCAGUUUCACAACUUGAGACAAAAUGCGUCAGUGUCUGAAUAUAUUGAGAAAUUUGAAGAAUAUAUGGGUCUGGUCAAAAGAGAUAAUCCAUCUCUUCAAGAAGAGUAUUUCAUCUAUAGUUUUGUCACAAAGACCAUAUCCAACAUCAUUUUCAGUGCCACAAACCAAGCACCCUUACACAAGCUUUCUGGUUUGCCAAGAGACUUGAACAGGCCAAUCCACAACAUAGGAAAUUCAAUACCUUCAACCCCAUGAACAGAAUUUCAAAACCUUGGGUAAAGGAACAAAAACCUGUGGAUGUUAAAGAUCCACCAGCCAAUAACAUUGCUGAGUUGAAAGCUGCAGGCAAAUGUUUUGAGUGUAGGGAGCUGUGGAGCCCUGGACAUGCCAAGGUAUGUAAAGCAAAGCAGACCUUCUCCAUGAUUCUAGUAGAGAAUUCUAAAGGUAAAGAAGAAAUUGCUGUGGUUGAUGAUAGCACACAAUCUGAAGAUGGUGAAUACUUUGAUGCACAACCUGCCUCAGUGGUGCAAGUUUCAUUACAUGCUUUGUGUGGUACCAUGCCUUUGGCCCACCCAUUCACACUAAAAUUGCAUAUUGGAAACAGUUCAGCAAUAGCAUUAGUUGACAGUGGCAGUGACAUAUCAUUCAUCAGUGCCAAAUUUGCCACUAGAAACAAUUGCAAGAUUUCUGCCACUUCACCCAUUCAAGUGGCUGCUGCCAAUGGCUCCAAUAGAAUCAGUGAAUCAGCUUGUUUGGCUUGUCAGUAUCAGAUCCAAGGACACACUUUCAGUUCUGACAUCAGACUCUUGGAAGUCCAGGGAUAUGAUAUAAUAUCGGGAGCAGAUUGGAUAUAUACCCACAGUCCUUUAGGCUUGGAUCUUAAAACUAGACAGUUGUCAGUAACAAAAUAUGGAGAACAAGUUGUCACCUUCAUAGAUGAAUCAGUACCAGACAAGAAUCUGAUGAUAGGUGCAAGAAAGCUAUGUCAGCUGUUAAAGAAGAAAGCAUUCUGUAAUGUGGUUGUCCUUAACAACAGUGACCUAAAACAAACAAAACCUUCUCCUCCCAAAAUUCCAGAAACAAUCCAGGUGCUGCUACAAGAAUUUGGUGAUGUUUUUGUGGAACCCAAGGACUUGCCCCCAAAGUGACAAGUUGAUCAUGCUAUUGCUCUCAUAGAUUAAACCAAGAUUGUCAACCAAAGACCUUACAGGCUGCCUUUCCAUCAGAAAAAUGCUUUGGAGGACUUGAUCAAGCGGAUGUUGCAAUCUCAGAUGAUCAAACCAAGCAUCAGCCCCUACUCAUCACCUGGCAUUCUGGUGAAGAAAAAAGAUGGUACAUGGUGACUAUGUAUGGACUAUAGACAGCUAAAUUCCAACACUGUCAAAAACAAAUACCCAAUUCCAAUAAUCGAGGAUUUAUUGGAUGAACUCUUUGGUGCUGAGAUAUUCUCCAAAAUUGAUCUCAGGUCUGGAUACCACCAGAUAAGAAUGAAAGAGGAAGACAUACCAAAAACAGCUUUCUCAACUCAUAUGGGUCAUUUUGAAUAUGUGGUGUUGCCUUUUGGACUAACAAAUGCACCUGCUACUUUCCAAUUCCUUAUGAACUCUGUGUUGGCACAAUUUUUAAGGAAAUUUGCAUUGGUCUUCUUUGAUGACAUAUUAAUAAACAAUUUCUCUCUACAAGAUCAUGUCGAGCAUUUGAGAUCUGUGCUGGAAGUUCUGAGACUCCACAAGCUUUAUGCUAAAAUGAGCAAGUGUACUUUUGCACAAAAAGAAAUAGAAUAUUUGGGUCAUAUCAUCACCAAACAAGGAGUGGCAACAGACCCUAGCAAGCUGAGCAUUAUACAGAAUUGGCCUUCACCUACCUCAAUAACACAGCUAAUGAAACGAACCGGAUUCCCGAAUCGAGGAAUCCGACUCCCUGUACCAUCGUGAUAGUCCCUGGAUUAAGCGCUAUCACAUACAGAACUCAUUUCAGGCAUAAUAUCACAGUCAUACUUUGCAUAAGGUCAAACACGGGUUUAAUUAUUACAUAAAUCCAAAGGAUCUGUAGUACGGAAUUUAUUACAAGCCUCUCGGCUAGGACGAACAAGCAGAAGGCGCAAAGCGGUAGCUAGGUUUUCGGCCGUCCUUCAUCUUCGGGAACCUUCUCCACAGGCGACUUGAGCGUAGCUCGGGCCUCAGUCGUACCAACCGUCAUCGUUGGGGUCGAACUCCGGAUCGGAUCCUGCAUCGUACCAGGCUAUCCCCAAGGAAUGGAAUAGGUUCACGUCACCAUCUAAAUGCAAGCUUUAACGUGGUCUAUACUAUGGAUAUAACAAAGCUCAAGAAGUAUAGCUGAGGUUUUCCUAUGCAUGCAAUAUACAUAUACAAGUAUACACAUCUUCUCCCAUUCCCGACUCGGGCCUUUCCGGCAUCCCGGACUCCCGGUCAAUGCACACCUUCCAAAACCACCAAGUCGAUGCAAAAACUCCCUCUCCUCGCAUCUCAACCGCCCCCUGGCAGGAAGUUAUUCUAGAGGGAGGUAGAAAUCUUGAGUAACACUAACUAAUAAGAGCAACAGAGGAGUAGGGAUGUCCAUGACCGAGGACGCGGCUAUACGUAUAGUUUUCACCCUGCAGGGGUUGUACACCUGGACCCACUCGAAUCGACACUAGCCGGGGAUCAGCCGACUAAUAUACGAAACACCGGUCUACUGAAACUGAACUAGGAGCCACGGCACCAUCCGGCUUUCCCGGGUCUUGGGCGCAUCCUCCCACGGGAGGUCGCCCCAGGACUGUGAAGCCUCCCAUGCGUCUCGGGGAACGUGAGGUUAGCACCUCCUUCCCCUGCA